CCUACGGGAGGCAGCAGUGAGGAAUAUUGGUCAAUGGGCGCUAGCCUGAACCAGCCAAGUAGCGUGAAGGAUGACUGCCCUAUGGGUUGUAAACUUCUUUUAUAUGGGAAUAAAGUGCACUAUGUAUACUGCUUUGCAUGUACCUUAUGAUUAGGGAUCGGCUAACUCCGUGCAAGCAUCCGCGGUAAUCAGGAGGAUCCGAGCUUUAUCCGGAUUUAUUGGGUUUAAAGGGAGCGUAGGUGGGUUGUUAAGUCAGUUGUGAAAGUUUGCGGUUAAAGCGUAAAAUUGCAGUUGAUACUGGCAUCCUUGAGUACAGUAGAGGUAGGAGGAAUGUGUGGUGUAGCGGUGAAAUGCUUAGAUAUCACGCAGAACUCCGAUUGCGAAGGCAGCCUGCUGGACUGUAACUGACGCUGAUGCUCGAAAGUGUGGGUAUCAAACAGGAUUAGAUACCCCUGUAGUC
rnacentral:rRNA from 1 species